rnacentral:rRNA from 1 species
UACGGAGGGAGCUAGCGUUGUUCGGAAUUACUGGGCGUAAAGCGCACGUAGGCGGCUUUGUAAGUUAGAGGUGAAAGCCCGAAGCUCAACUCCGGAACUGCCUUUAAAACUGCAUCGCUUGAAUCCAGGAGAGGUGAGUGGAAUUCCGAGUGUAGAGGUGAAAUUCGUAGAUAUUCGGAAGAACACCAGUGGCGAAGGCGGCUCACUGGACUGGUAUUGACGCUGAGGUGCGAAAGCGUGGGGAGCAAACAGG